rnacentral:lncRNA from 1 species
GACCAAGUGAAGCAGCUGUGGAGAAACAGGAGCGAUCUGAACGUGGAGCACGCGGGCAUCGCUGCGCUGUUCGGCCUCGAGCUCUACGGAUGGUUCUGCGUCGGUGAGAUCGCCGGCAGGGGUUUCACCUUAACUGGCUACAGCGUCUGAGCGCCCUCCUUCCAUGAGUACCUUUCCGCGGCUGUCGAUUAAGAGCUGAAGACUCUGUUAGCCAAUCAGUUUCUCGUGAUGCGCGUUGCGAAGUUUUGGUUUUUCUGAAAUACUAUUCUUGAUGCUGGUGAAAAGGUACACACGGCUCGGUAAAUUCGACUCGUCGAUGAGGUCUAAUA